rnacentral:rRNA from 1 species
AGGACGAACGCUGGCGGCGUGCUUAACACAUGCAAGUCGAGCGGAAAGGCCCUUCGGGGUACUCGAGCGGCGAACGGGUGAGUAACACGUGAGCAACCUGCCCUUAGCUCUGGGAUAGCUCCGGGAAACCGGAAUUAAUACCGGAUACGACCUAGGCCGACAUCGGCCAUGGUGGAAAGUUUUUCGGCUAGGGAUGGACUCGCGGCCUAUCAGCUAGUUGGUGGGUAAAGCCUACCAAGGCGACGACGGGUA